UACGUAGGGGGCAAGCGUUGUCCGGAUUUAUUGGGCGUAAAGAGCUCGUAGGCGGCUUGUUGCGUCAGCUGUGAAAACCCGCAGCUCAACUGUGGCUUGCAGCUGAUACGGGCAGGCUUGAGUUCGGCAGGAGGAGCUGGAAUUCCUGGUGUAGCGGUGAAAGUGACGCAGAUAUCAGGAGGAACACCGGUGGCGAAGGCGGGUCUCUGGGCCGAUACUGACGCUGAGGAGCGAAAGCGUGGGGAGCGAACAGG
rnacentral:rRNA from 1 species